rnacentral:rRNA from 1 species
GAUGAACGCUGGCGGCGUGCCUAAUACAUGCAAGUCGAGCGAACAGACGAGGAGCUUGCUCCUCUGACGUUAGCGGCGGACGGGUGAGUAACACGUGGAUAACCUACCUAUAAGACUGGGAUAACUUCGGGAAACCGGAGCUAAUACCGGAUGAUAUUUUGAACCGCAUGGUUCAAAAGUGAAAGACGGUCUUGCUGUCACUUAUAGAUGGAUCCGCGCUGCAUUAGCUAGUUGGUAAGGUAACGGCUUACCAAGGCAACGAUGCAUAGCCGACCUGAGAGGGUGAUCGGCCACACUGGAACUGAGACACGGUCCAGACUCCUACGGGAGGCAGCAGUAGGGAAUCUUCCGCAAUGGGCGAAAGCCUGACGGAGCAACGCCGCGUGAGUGAUGAAGGUCUUCGGAUCGUAAAACUCUGUUAUUAGGGAAGAACAUAUGUGUAAGUAACUGUGCACAUCUUGACGGUACCUAAUCAGAAAGCCACGGCUAACUACGUG